UUUCUAUGAGAAAAAGGUAACUCUUCCUUCUCGCACUGAUCCAACAAUUUUUUACCCAUCAGUUUAUUAGAGACGUGGCAGCUCCAUCAUGGAAAAUGGAAAAAAAAAGAACAAACACCAAAAAAACCAACAACAACAAAAAAACACCUUUGCUGUGAUUAAAGUGCCUCUGGAUUAGGACACUCCAGUUUCCUGAUAAUCUCAAAGCUUUGGUUGAGCUGCGUGAAGACGUCAACCACAGAACAAGAAAAAAGGGCAUGAUCUGAUGUUUGCUGAAACUAGAGAAAGAAGACAUUCAAUGCUCCAUGAAGAAACUCCAUUGAGACAUCCUCAUUUUCAUCCAGCCACUGAAUGACAAAUGGUUCAAACCACCUGAAUAUUAAAAACAAUCUUGUAAAGUAAGUAUAUUCCAUAAAGAUCCUGAGAAAAGAGGUGCCACCCCACCCAGCAGUUUGGUGCUUUGUGCCUCCAUAUUUGUUCUAGUUGUCAAAAAGUCUUUCAUCCUAGAAAAAAAAUUGUCACCAAAGGCACUGUGGCUACCAAAAUGUCUUUCAGGCUUCAUCUCCACGCUAUUCUAAAUGGUCUACCCCAAUGAUGUAGAAUUUGCACUUGCCAUUGGAGAAAUGCACCCAUGUUUUGCAGGGGAUCAUAUUCAUAUUUAUUUUAGAAUGUCUCUUUUUUCAGUAUUGUUUCUUUUUAAACUUUUUUUAUUAUUAUUUGCAUAUGAAAUAACUUGGAGAAAAUAAUAAAAUGCCAGCUGUUCAAUUCUUAUUCAAUUUACUUAGAUUAUUUUGAAGGAAUGACAGCUGCCCAAACAUUUUGGCAAACCAAAAAACUUACUGAAGAUUAAAGACUGUAAAUAAAUAUUACUCAUACAGAAGUGUACGACUGAAUAUAUUCAGAAGGAAAGGUGAAAACAGCAGAUUAAUAUUAAUCCAUUGCAGUGAUAAUAAUUUCACUAGCGUAGCCCAUUAGCUUUGUAUCUUGAUCCAGAUUUGUGUAUGAAAUGAAUUCAGGGGCCAAGAACGAAUAUUGCUGCUGUUCCCACAUUUCAUUCCAUACUCAGGAAGUAAGUAAUUCAUUUCCUUACUCAGGAAACUUUACGAUUAACAGUUUUGAAAAUUAAAUUUAUAGAAUGAAGAAUUAAAGAGGAUGAAGUGAAAAAAGUAUAUUUAAAAUUAUUAGUGCUACACCUCUGGAUAUCUUGCACAAACUUGAGCAUAACUUUUUGAAGAAAAUAAAAUGCACCAAGCCCAAACUCUGGGAUACAUCCCAACAAAC